rnacentral:lncRNA from 1 species
GGCUCAUGCCUGUAAUUCUAAUACUUUGGGAGGCUGAGGCGAGUGUUUCACUUGAGGUCAGGAGUUUGAGGCCAGCCUGGCCAACAUGAAAUCCCAUCUCUACAAAAAAAUAUAUAUAUAAAUUAGCUGGACGAGGUGGUAGGCAACCAUAAUCCCAGCUACUGGGUAGGUUGAGGCAGGAGAAUCACUUGAGUAUAGGAGGCAGAGUUUGCCGUGAGCCAAGAUCACGCUGCUGUACUCCAGCCUGGGUGACAGAGUGAGACUCUGUCUAAAAAAAAAUGUUGUGAUUCAGAGUGAUUCUAGGGUCACCUUCUUGUGAGAAGAGAAAGGAAACCAACAUUUAGUGAGCAAGUACUAUUUUCCAAGCACCAUCCAUUUUUCAUUUCAUUUAAUCCCCACAAUAACUCUAGAAGCUAAUUUUACUUUUCCAUUCUAUUUCUAAGAAAAUGGAGAUUCAAGAGAUUUAAAAACUUGGCCAAGAUCACACACAGUAACUCAAUGGAAGAGCUGAGAUUGGACAUCCGAGCUGCUGCGUUCUCAGGACCAGAAAUAUCUCCAAGAGCACCAGCAACCCCAGCUAUCUAGACCCGAAGUGGAUAUACUCAGAGGCAUCCUGGCCUACCCCACCCCUGACCCCAGAGAAGAUGCUGCUGCCCUCAGAAGACGCCAGAGCCAGCCACACUGCAAGUCUGGGAGGAUCGAGCAAGGCAGGCUGCUCAGUGAAGGCUUCCUCUCCUGUAGCAGGAAGAGCAUCGUUAAGAACAAGUAUGCAGGGCUGGACUACUCUGGAGAUGUAAUGACCAGAGCUGAGACCCCCGAGACCAGAGUGACUAUGAAGGACUGUCGUCACCUUGUUCCUGAACAUCUAAUGCCUCUCAGCUCCAGGAGGCCACUGAGGAGAAACCGAAGGCUAGUUUUCCUUGGAAGCCAGCAGCCUGUCCACCUGUUCCACUUCCCUGCCUCUUGCAGCCUCCGCUCAAACACUACCAUGGUUUGGGAGCACGGAAAAACUAGAAAAUACAGAAAUAUAUCAAGAAGAAAGAAAUUUAAAAAUCAACCUGAAUCCCACCAACCAGAGACAGCUAUUAAUGAUUGUGGUAUAUUUAUUGCCCAUGGCAUGGAUGGCACCGACAAUCGAGGCAGGCAGUGCUGGUGGAUACACCUAGGAGGUCCUGUUGGAAGAGGACCAUUCGUGUGCAGAAACGAGGAAAUAGACAUGUAUGAGCUGGAAGAAAAUCUUAUCCGUCUGAUUCAAUUCCCUCAUUUCACAGAAUGGAUGCAGAAUUUUUCAUCUAUGCUGCACCGUGAAAAAUGGAUGUGUUUGGCGCAGAAGUCAUUUGAACGUGAAACCCAGCCUCAGUGGAAAGACAACCUUCAGAAAAACUUUCCAAGUAACUUUUCAUUCGCACUUGCUUCCACCGGGGAAGGUCAGGCUCUUGUGAAAGAUGGAAAUUUCCUGCACAAACCUAGAUGCUGA